rnacentral:rRNA from 1 species
AUUGAACGCUGGCGGCAGGCUUAACACAUGCAAGUCGAGCGGGGUGAUGGUGCUUGCACUAUCACUUAGCGGCGGACGGGUGAGUAAUGCUUAGGAAUCUGCCUAUUAGUGGGGGACAACAUCUCGAAAGGGAUGCUAAUACCGCAUACGUCCUACGGGAGAAAGCAGGGGAUCACUUGUGACCUUGCGCUAAUAGAUGAGCCUAAGUCGGAUUAGCUAGUUGGUGGGGUAAAGGCCUACCAAGGCGACGAGCUGUAGCGGGUCUGAGAGGAUGAUCCGCCACACUGGGAAUGAGACACGGCCCAGACUCCUACGGGAGGCAGCAGUGGGGAAUAUUGGACAAUGGGGGGAACCCUGAUCCAGCCAUGCCGCGUGUGUGAAGAAGGCCUUAUGGUUGUAAAGCACUUUAAGCGAGGAGGAGGCUCUUUUGGUUAAUACCCAAGAUGAGUGGACGUUACUCGCAGAAUAAGCACCGGCUAACUCUGUGCCAGCAGCCGCAGUAA